UUUUUGGUGGUGCUGGGGGUUGAACCCAGGGCCUUGCGCAUGCAAGGCAAGCACUCUACCAACUGAACUAUAUCCCCAGCCCCUAUUCUGUUAGAUUAAUUUCUAAUUAUUGUUAGUUGUUAUAAAUUAUAUCUUAUGUUUUAUUACUUUUCUAAUAGUCUGUGGUGGCAGCAAAAUAUUUACUUUCUCAUUAGAGCUACUGGUUUACCUAUUGAUUCCAUUGUGCUUUCUAUGUAAAUGAUUUUUGUCAACUAUAAAUAUUACUUUGUUCUUUUUCUUUUCAAUACUUAUGCUUCUUACUUAUUUUUCAUGUUUACUUCAUUGACCAAGGGCAUCUAAUACACAUUACACGUGGUCAUGAUAGUAGGCAUCUUUGUGUUGCUCCCAGUCCUAUAGAAAAAUGCUUAGAAAUUAUCUCCAUUUAAGCAUGAGGUUUGCUGUAGGUUUUCAGUAAAUAGUCUUUAUCAAGUUUAUUUUAAAAUUUUUAUCUAGAAUAUUUUGAAAUUUAUUGUUAUUUUUUUCUGCAUCUAUUAAGAUAGUUCACUUCCUUUUAUCUUCACUGCUUUAUAGUAGUAAGCUACUAAAAUUAAUACAAUUGUUAAUAUGAUACCUUC
rnacentral:lncRNA from 1 species